AUUGAACGCUGGCGGCAGGCCUAACACAUGCAAGUCGAGCGGAUGAAGGGAGCUUGCUCCUGGAUUCAGCGGCGGACGGGUGAGUAAUGCCUAGGAAUCUGCCUGGUAGUUGGGGAUAACGUCCGGAAACGGGCGCUAAUACCGCAUACGUCCUGAGGGAGAAAGUGGGGGAUCUUCGGACCUCACGCUAUCAGAUGAGCCUAGGUCGGAUUAGCUAGUUGGUGGGGUAAAGGCCUACCAAGGCGACGAUCCGUAACUGGUCUGAGAGGAUGAUCAGUCACACUGGAACUGAGACACGGUCCAGACUCCUACGGGAGGCAGCAGUGGGGAAUAUUGGACAAUGGGCGAAAGCCUGAUCCAGCCAUGCCGCGUGUGUGAAGAAGGUCUUCGGAUUGUAAAGCACUUUAAGUUGGGAGGAAGAGCAGUAAGUGAAUACCUUGCUGUUUUGACGUUACCAACAGAGUAAGCACCGGCUAACUUCGUG
rnacentral:rRNA from 1 species